GACGAACGCUGGCGGCGUGCUUAACACAUGCAAGUCGAACGGAAAGGCCCUGCUUUUGUGGGGUGCUCGAGUGGCGAACGGGUGAGUAACACGUGAGUAACCUGCCCUUGACUUUGGGAUAACUUCAGGAAACUGGGGCUAAUACCGGAUAGGAGCUCCUGCUGCAUGGUGGGGGUUGGAAAGUUUCGGCGGUUGGGGAUGGACUCGCGGGUUAUCAGCUUGUUGGUGGGGUAGUGGCUUACCAAGGCUUUGACGGGUAGCCGGCCUGAGAGGGUGACCGGCCACAUGGGGACUGCGAGAGGGCCCAGUCUCCUACGGGAGGCAGCAGUGGGGAACAUUGCACAACGGGCGGAAGCGUGAUACAGCGACGCCGGGUGCGUGAUGCCGUGUUUUGGGUUGUAAACAGCUGUCUACUGUGACGAAGCGUUCUUGACGGUACUGGAUCAAAAAGCACCGGCUAACUACGUG
rnacentral:rRNA from 1 species